UGGCUCAGGACGAACGCUGGCGGCGUGCCUAACACAUGCAAGUCGAGCGGGGACAUGCGACGGAGCGGAAGUUUUCGGAUGGAAGUGAAGAUGUAUGUUCUAGCGGCGGACGGGUGAGUAACGCGUGAGCAACCUGUCCCUUACAGGGGGAUAACACAGCGAAAGUUGUACUAAUACCGCAUAAGACCACGGUGAGACAUCUCACAGGGGUCAAAGGAGCAAUCCGGUAAGGGGUGGGCUCGCGUCCGAUUAGAUAGUUGGUGAGGUAACGGCCCACCAAGUCGACGAUCGGUAGCCGACCUGAGAGGGUGAUCGGCCACAUUGGGACUGAGACACGGCCCAAACUCCUACGGGAGGCAGCAGUGGGGAAUAUUGGGCAAUGGGGAAACCCUGACCCAGCAACGCCGCGUGAGGGAAGAAGGUUUUCGGAUCGUAAACCUCUGUCCUUGGUGAAGAGUAUGAGACGGUAGCCAAGGAGGAAGCCCCGGCUAACUACGUGCCAGCAGCCGC
rnacentral:rRNA from 1 species